ACACAUGCAGUCGAGCGGAUGAAGGAGCUUGCUCCUGGAUUCAGCGGCGGACGGGUGAGUAAUGCCUAGGAAUCUGCCUGGUAGUGGGGGACAACGUUUCGAAAGGAACGCUAAUACCGCAUACGUCCUACGGGAGAAAGCAGGGGACCUUCGGGCCUUGCGCUAUCAGAUGAGCCUAGGUCGGAUUAGCUAGUUGGUGAGGUAAUGGCUCACCAAGGCGACGAUCCGUAACUGGUCUGAGAGGAUGAUCAGUCACACUGGAACUGAGACACGGUCCAGACUCCUACGGGAGGCAGCAGUGGGGAAUAUUGGACAAUGGGCGAAAGCCUGAUCCAGCCAUGCCGCGUGUGUGAAGAAGGUCUUCGGAUUGUAAAGCACUUUAAGUUGGGAGGAAGGGUUGUAGAUUAAUACUCUGCAAUUUUGACGUUACCGACAGGAUAAGCACCGGCUAACUCUGUGCCAGCAGCCGCGGUAAUACAGAGGGUGCAAGCGUUAAUCGGAAUUACUGGGCGUAAAGCGCGCGUAGGUGGUUUGUUAAGUUGGAUGUGAAAUCCCCGGGCUCAACCUGGGAACUGCAUCCAAAACUGGCAAGCUAGAGUAUGGUAGAGGGUGGUGGAAUUUCCUGUGUAGCGGUGAAAUGCGUAGAUAUAGGAAGGAACACCAGUGGCGAAAGCGACCACCUGGACUGAUACUGACACUGAGUGCGAAAGCGUGGGGAGCAAACAGGAUUA
rnacentral:rRNA from 1 species